GCGACCGCAGCUGUGGGAAAUGGCGGAGUAUUUGGCCUCCAUCUUCGGCACCGAAAAAGACAAAGUCAACUGCUCAUUUUAUUUCAAAAUUGGAGCAUGUCGUCAUGGAGACAGAUGCUCUCGGUUGCACAAUAAACCGACCUUUAGCCAGACCAUUGCCCUCUUGAACAUUUACCGUAACCCUCAAAACUCUUCCCAGUCUGCUGACGGUUUGCGCUGUGCUGUGAGCGAUGUGGAGAUGCAGGAGCACUAUGAUGAGUUCUUUGAGGAGGUCUUCACAGAGAUGGAGGAGAAGUACGGGGAAGUGGAGGAGAUGAACGUCUGUGACAACCUGGGAGACCACCUUGUGGGGAAUGUGUAUGUCAAGUUUCGCCGUGAGGAGGAUGCAGAGAAGGCUGUGAUUGACCUGAAGAACCGCUGGUUUAACGGACAGCCAAUCCAUGCUGAGCUCUCGCCCGUGACCGACUUCAGGGAAGCUUGCUGCCGUCAGUAUGAGAUGGGGGAGUGCACACGAGGAGGCUUCUGCAACUUCACGCACCUGAAGCCGAUUUCCAGAGAGCUGCGGCAAGAGCUAUACGGGCGACGCCGCAAGAAGCGUAGGUCAAGGUCCCGGUCCCGGGAGCGGCGCUCUCGGUCUAGAGACCGCGGUCGUGGUGGAGGCGGCGGUGGUGGAGGUGGCGGAGGUCGGGAGCGAGACCGGAGGAGGUCGAGAGAUCGGGAAAGAUCGGGGCGAUUCUGAGCCAUGCCAUUUUUACCGUAUGUCUGCUAGAAAGUGUUGUAGUUGAUUGACCAAACCAGUUCAUAAAAUGGGAAUUUUUUUUAAAAAAACAACAA